rnacentral:rRNA from 1 species
GACGAACGCUGGCGGCGUGCUUAACACAUGCAAGUCGAACGGAAAGGCCCUGCUUGCAGGGUACUCGAGUGGCGAACGGGUGAGUAACACGUGGGUGAUCUGCCCUGCACUUCGGGAUAAGCCUGGGAAACUGGGUCUAAUACCGGAUAGGAGCCAUUUUUAGUGUGAUGGUUGGAAAGUUUUUUCGGUGUAGGAUGAGCUCGCGGCCUAUCAGCUUGUUGGUGGGGUAAUGGCCUACCAAGGCGGCGACGGGUAGCCGGCCUGAGAGGGUGGACGGCCACAUUGGGACUGAGAUACGGCCCAGACUCCUACGGGAGGCAGCAGUGGGGAAGAUUGCACAAUGGGCGCAAGCCUGAUGCAGCGACGCCGCGUGGGGUAUGACGGCCUUCGGGUUGUAAACUCCUUUCGCUAGGGACGAAGCUUUUUGUGACGGUACCUAGAUAAGAAGCACCGGCUAACUACGUG